UAGUUAUUAUAGCAAAGAGGAUAUACCUGUUCCCAUUCCGAACACAGAAGUUAAGCUCUUUAGCGCCGAUGGUACUUGGUGGGAAGCUGCCUGGGAGAGUAGGACAUAGCUAGGUG
rnacentral:rRNA from 1 species